rnacentral:rRNA from 1 species
ACGCUCGACACCUACGGGAGGCAGCAGUGGGGAAUAUUGCACAAUGGGGGAAACCCUGAUGCAGCGACGCCGCGUGAGCGAAGAAGUAUUUCGGUAUGUAAAGCUCUAUCAGCAGGGAAGAAACUGACGGUACCUGACUAAGAAGCACCGGCUAAAUACGUGCCUGCAGCCGCGGUAAUCUGAGCGGGCUGGCAAGGC